GAUGAACGCUGGCGGCGUGCCUAAUACAUGCAAGUCGAGCGAAAGGACGAGAAGCUUGCUUCUCUGAUGUUAGCGGAGGACGGGUGAGUAACACGUGGAUAAUCUACCUAUAAGACUGGGAUCAUUUCGGGAAACCGUAGAUAAUACCGGAUAAUAUUUUGAACCGCAUGGUUCAAAAGUGAAAGACGGUCUUGCUGUCACUUAUAGAUGGAUCUGGGCUGCAUUAGCUAGUUGGUACGGUCACGGCUUACCACGGCAACGAUGCCUAUCCGACCUGUGAGAGGGGUAGGCGACACGGGAGCGUAGACACGCACCAUGCGCCUACGAUAGGGAGCAGUAGCGAAUCUGCCGCAAUGGGCGAGAGCCUGGCGGAGCGGCGGCGCGUGAGUGAUGGAGGUCUUCGGAGCGUAAAGCUCUGUUAUUAGGUGUGAACAGAUUUGUAAGGAACUGUACACAGCGUGACGGUACCUAGUCAGAAAGCCACGGCUAACUACGUG
rnacentral:rRNA from 1 species